rnacentral:ncRNA from 1 species
GGCUGAGGUUGCGGAAGUCAUCAGUAUCCCUCCGGAACGAGGCAAAUUGCCGGAGGAGGAAAGGGACUUUCGCCGAAGACUGCUGUUUUCUUGCCGGGAAAGGCAGUCUGGGUCCGCACAGAAGAUGUGCGGAACUGUCAUUCGCAAUGCGAAUGGAGUGC